UUAUUUAUAUUUAUCAAAAUAAAUAUUGAUAAAAAUAAAAGACAGAAAAAUACACUGAAUCAUCCUCUGCGUUUUAUUUCCUAUUCCUCG
rnacentral:ribozyme from 18 species